GUUGCAUGGGCUUCAAGCCCAAACUUCUCCUGGACAAAACCGAGCUCACUCCAGGUUAACAUUAAACACAAAAUUGCUUAAUAACAUGAAACAAACCCCUCGUCGAUUCCUUCAUAAUUAAUCACCAUGUUCGAUUCCACGUUUUCAUUCUCAAACCUAGAGCCAACAUCAUCCGAGUUCCAAAUCGAAAUCCGCCUUGAUGCAUCUGAGACUUCAAUUGUACUUCAAUUGCGUUCAACCUUGCGUAUUCCACUUUGAAAUCGGAAUGAAGAAAGGACGAAGAACCAAGCCCCGAGGUCCAUUCAGUCUCCGAAAUCAGAAUCAACAUCCAAUUCGGUUCCUUAUUAUUCACACGUAGAAUUAAACAGAACGGAAUUAGAAUCAAGAAAACUUACCAGAUUUGAAGCUUCAAGUAUAAACAGCUUCAGGUUCUGAUUUUGAGCACUUGAAAUUGCUUGCUACAACUAUGCUCUUGGACUAAAACAUGGUGUGAUGGCCUUGCUCAUGGUGGAUCACAGCUUGGAUGAUGGAAUGAUGUUGUUUGGGACUUUAGUUACCUUGCCAAAGUGAUGGUCCAAGUGAUCAUGAAGUAUCUUAUGCAAAAUGCAUGAAAUUUAGUAUUAGGAGCAUGUUAUGUAGCAUAAAAGAUAGUGUAGGAUUAAGACCCUCUUUGUAUGAAUAACAUGUAAAUUACACAUUUAGUAUCAAUGCCAAUUCCCAUAGAUGAGUGCUAACAAUGUAUUAAUAUGGAUGUAGCGGUAAAUUCGAGACCAUCAAGCUAUGAAUAAACUUGACGUCAAAAUAAA